CACAUCGACAGAUUAAUCAUUACACUAUCAUCAAACAAUAAAAAUAUUGUACAUGCAUCACUUUUAAAGUAAUUUUAUCUCGAUGCAAUUGUUGUUGUUCCUUCGUAGCAUCAAUGUUUAGGGCAAAAUUGUGUAUAAGGUAGUUGCAAGUUCCUCCCUACCGCAUCCAACAUUUCCAUCUUUAGGGAUGUCAUGGGCAUGUCCAUCUUUAGGGAUGUCACGGACAUGUAAAUGUCUGUGUUUUGGCCUGGAUUGUUUAUUAUGCACUCAUAUGAACCGGGACCAAUAUUGCUUGAAGACAAUUUAUUUUAUAUUUACUUUACUGGUGGUGCAAGCAUAUAUGUUUCCGCCGUGUGUGCCCUAACCUAUGUUAGCCCAACAUUGUCUAAUCAUUAUCCAUGAAUGUAUUGUGUUGUUUUCUUUUUAGUUUUUGUGUCCUAGUAGAUAGCAAGUAUGAGUUUCGUGAGGCACAUAAACAGAGUUAAACUUAUCUUUUUCUAAGAUCAAAUUCAACCUUAAAACAAAAAGGCAACGUCUGCAUUAUUCGGAGAACAAAGACACACGCUAGCACGUCCGUGUGAUGCAUCUGGAGAUUUUUAUCGGCCUGUGAACAAACUACUUAUAUUACAAAAAAAAGAAAUUGAACCUGUGAACAUGCGUGCGUGCAUGCUAGCUAGCCUCACACGUUGGCUGGUCUGGAAGAAACCAGCCGCGUCGCUGGCGCUUUUCCAGUCUGGACUCGUCGCCUCGCAGAGCUUAUCUCCUCAGCUUCUCUUGAGUAAUCCACAUCCCCCGACCUCCACCUACUGCCCAGGUAGCACGACCUCCCCACAUCUCCCCGCAUCACUCGCAGCCCUGGGACACGCCGCCACUGCCGCAUGCGCCCGCCGUCGGCACUCCACCAGAUCUCCUGCACCACCGGGCAUGGCGCGGGCUCCACACCAGCUCCCCCCGACACUCCGCCGGAUCUCCCGCACCACCACCGGGCCAUCCAUGGCGCGGGCUCCAACACCCGCUCCCCCCGCUUCCCCGGGCAUGGCGCGGGCAGUUGGGCGGCCAUGCUCAUGCCCAGCACCGGUAGUCUCGGUGCGCGUCCCGGUUUUCGUAUUCAGAUUGGCUCUCUCCUCCCUUGGCUAGGCAUCCAGUGCUGCUUUUUCUCUGGGACUUCAUGCACUUUCUCUUUGUUUGUUCGUGACAGUUGAGCCGUCUCUUCCAGGAGGUCGCGCAUCGGAAGAAGGCCGUCUCCCCCAAGAAGAAGUACCGGCGGCCUACCCUCGUCGCCACUAUCCGCCGCCGACCGUACCUGGAUGGAUGCCUCCUCGAGGCCAAGCUUGUGCGUGGCUGCGGCAAUCCGGCUUUCUUGGCAUCAACACAGUCUGCAUACAUCCAUGCGCAUUGUCGGUUGUGCAUUACGGCCUCUGCUUCCCUUCGUCGCGCCUGAUGCAUGCCAUGGCGCCCGCGCCCUCAAGCUCCAGCAGCAGCCCCGCCUUCCCGCGUCGCGCCGCAGCCCGCGUUCCUCUGCUUCGACCGCGCCCUCGCGCCCGACACUCGCGCCGGCCCCUCGCCACACCGGCGACCACCAAGAACACCGCCACCUCCUCGCCUCCGCUUAGUGCAUGUCGGCAGGAGCGCCACCACCAUACUUCCUCCUGACCACUGCGGCAAGCAGCAGCGCCUUCCUUGGCUUCUGCGGCGUGGAUGCCGGCGCCAAGCGGCGGCGUGUACCCAUCAGUGGAGGCUGCGGAUGGAUAAGAGCCAGUACAAAAUAAGGAUUAAGGACUGCAGGCUGAAUUCCAACUAAUGCAGGGUUUUUUUUGCAAAAACAAAACGUUUUUCUAGAGUGCCACUUAAACAGGGACUGCAGGUUGAUUUCAAAGGAACGUAGGGGCUUUUUCAUAAAAACGCCGACAACGUACGACCAGAAGCAAUAUUUGCUUUAUUAGUAGGGAAAGAUAUGUUUGUUUGAUGUUUUUAUUAUGUACUUCCACCUUACUAAAGAACUGGUUCACCGAAA